GAAAUGCGAUAAGUAGUGUGAAUUGCAGAAUUCAGUGAAUCAUCGAAUCUUUGAACGCACAUUGCGCCUUCUGGUAUUCCGGAAGGCAUGCCUGUUCGAGCGUCAUAAAAAAACCCUCAAGCUUGAAUUUAUUCAUGACUUGGUAUUGGAACUUGGAGUCUCUUUGUAUGAUUCCUAUCCGAAAUGAAAUGGCGAAGUUGUCCGUACCAAUAUGCGUAGUAAUCAACGUUAUGUUUCGCUAUUGUACUUGUAAUCUGCUGCCGUUAACCCCCCCAUUCCAAGAUUUUGACCUCGGAUCAGGUAGGGAUACCCGCUGAACUUAA
rnacentral:misc_RNA from 1 species